rnacentral:rRNA from 1 species
CAGUCGCCGCGGGAACACGGAGGGAGCUAGCGGUGUUCGGAAUCACUGGGCGUAAAGCGCACGUAGGCGGCUAUUCAAGUCAGGGGUGAAAGCCCGGGGCUCAACCCCGGAACUGCCUUUGAAACUAGAUAGCUUGAAUCUUGGAGAGGCGAGUGGAAUUCCGGGUGUAGAGGUGAAAUUCGUAGAUAUUCGGAAGAACACCAGUGGCGAAGGCGACUCGCUGGACAAGUAUUGACGCUGAGGUGCGAAAGCGUGGGGAGCAAACAGGAUUAGAUACCCCUGUAGUCCCUGUCUCUUAUAA